ensembl:snRNA U6 U6 spliceosomal RNA
GUGCUUGCUUCAGCAGAACAUAUACUAAAAUUAGAACAAUACAGAAAAGAUUAGCAUGGCCCCAGCUCAAGGAUCACGCAAAUUCAUGAAGUAUUCCAUAUUUAA